CGGACGUGUGAGUAACACGUGGAUAACCUACCUAUAAGACUGGGAUAACUUCGGGAAACCGGAGCUAAUACCGGAUAAUAUAUUGAACCGCAUGGUUCAAUAGUGAAAGACGGUUUUGCUGUCACUUAUAGAUGGAUCCGCGCCGCAUUAGCUAGUUGGCAAGGUAACGGCUUACCAAGGCAACGAUACGUAGCCGACCUGAGAGGGUGAUCGGCCACACUGGAACUGAGACACGGUCCAG
rnacentral:rRNA from 1 species